ACAGCUGGUAGUUUGGGAUGCCUUUAUUCAUACAUUCAAUAUGGAAAGAAGUUCAGUUAACUCAGUGAAGAUUGGUUCCUUGUAUGACUGCUUGUGCUGGACCUUUGGACUUUGCACCAACAAUACCACCGGGAAUCAUCAGGGAGCCUGCAGGCAUCUACAAUACGGGUUGUAAUGCUGCUAAAUACUGCAUUUACUGGACGUAUACAGAGAAGCAGAGAACUGCAGGGCACAGUGUUACAUCACAGAUCAAUGUCAGAGAACAACAGAAAGUGGAAAGAAAACAAAAAGCAGCACACUAUAAACACUACAUAGAAAUGUACAACAAAUGAACUCUAAGAUCUGAGAAUUCAUAUUACACCGUGGAUGGAAAGUUAAUUGAUAGAGUGUGAAAUCAGGUAUUGGUUUAAUGCCUUUCCUCUGAAGGAUGUAGCAACACUUUUUAUUUGUCUGAAGAGUAAUGCACAAUGCAUGGAUAUGGUCAAAGUAUUUGUUUGAGUUAAUAUAAAUGCAAAUACCAGCGAACAUCAAACAUACCUUAUUUCCUCUUGUGGAUGAUCUUCAGUAUGUUCUUAUUGCUGUAGUGUGGCUCCUUCUGAGUGCUCUUUUUGCUUGCAAAGCACUGAUUCUCACCCAGUGAUAUUUGGUGUUUCCAAGAAGUGGGUUCAGCAGUUGCUUGUUGCUCACAGUGAGGGGCUGGUGGUUAACACUAGUGGAGGGAACUGCUUAUGUUCCAUAAUCUUGCCAAUGCAAUU